ACUACAGCUUGGCAUUGAAUUAGGAUUAUGUUUGUUCAGCAUAGGUGGGAGACUUUGAAGUGGUGGCGUUAGCCGCCAUGGAGUCGAAAUAUGAGAUACCACCCUCAUGUGCUUUUAAUUCUAACUCCUUCCCGUGAAACCGGGGGGAAGACAGUGUCUGGUAGGUAGUUUAACUGGGGCGGUU
rnacentral:ncRNA from 1 species